rnacentral:rRNA from 1 species
GACGAACGCUGGCGGCGUGCUAAACACAUGCAAGUCGAACGGUGAACCCGGAGCUUGCUCCGGUGGAUUAGUGGCGAACGGGUGAGUAACACGUGAGUAACCUGCCCUUGACUCUGGGAUAACUGCGGGAAACUGUAGCUAAUACCGGAUACGACCCUCGGCGGCAUCGCCAGGGGGUGGAAAGAAUUUCGGUCAAGGAUGGACUCGCGGCCUAUCAGCUAGUUGGUGAGGUAACGGCUCACCAAGGCGACGACGGGUAGCCGGCCUGAGAGGGUGACCGGCCACACUGGGACUGAGACACGGCCCAGACUCCUACGGGAGGCAGCAGUGGGGAAUAUUGCACAAUGGGCGCAAGCCUGAUGCAGCAACGCCGCGUGAGGGAUGACGGCCUUCGGGUUGUAAACCUCUUUUAGUAGGGAAGAAGCGAAAGUGACGGUACCUGCAGAAAAAGCACCGGCUAACUACGUGCCAGCCGCCGCAGUAA